GGGCUCUUAGCUCAGUUGGUAGAGCAGCGGACUCUUAAUCCGUAGGUCGCGUGUUCGAGUCACGCAGGGCCCACCA
rnacentral:tRNA from 2 species